UCAUCUUGGGCUAGCACAUGAAACACCUUUUGGGGAGAGCGAACAAUCUGGCAUUCCUCGUGGCCUUUCUGUUGUUCCAGUUUCCCAGGGUUCAUCUCUUGUGCCUGAUUUGUCGUUUGCUCGGUUUGGACCCGAGCAAAUGCCUCCCACUGCCAGACUCAUUACACUCCUUUUC